UGGGGAAUCUUGCGCAAUGCGCGAAAGCGUGACGCAGCAAUGCCGCGUGGGGGAAGAAGGCCUUCGGGUUGUAAACCUCUUUCAGUUGGGACGAAGUGUGAGCGGUGAAUAGCCGUUUCACAUGACGGUACCUUCACAAGAAGCCCCGGCUAACUACGUGCCAGCAGCCGCGGUAAUACGUAGGGGGCAAGCGUUGUCCGGAAUCAUUGGGCGUAAAGAGCGCGUAGGCGGCCCUGUAAGUCCGCUGUGAAAGUCAAGGGCUCAACCCUUGGAUGCCGGUGGAUACUGCAGGGCUAGAGUCCGGAAGAGGUGAGUGGAAUUCCUGGUGUAGCGGUGAAAUGCGCAGAUAUCAGGAGGAACACCGAUGGCGAAGGCAGCUCACUGGGACGGUACUGACGCUGAGGCGCGAAAGCGUGGGGAGCAAACAG
rnacentral:rRNA from 1 species